UUAGCUGUCUGUCACUUCCUGAGGAGAGUCUAAAGUGCUCUGCAGUCUGCAUAGUGAGAAAUUCAGGUACUAUUGUCUGGAGGAUAAGCAGCCCAUCUGUUUAGUGUGUCAAUCUUCUAGAAAACACAAGAGUCAUGACUGCUGCCCCAUAGACGAAGAUGUUCAGGACCUCAAGGAGAAGGGUGAACUCCAGAGAGCACUAAAACCCUUACAGGAGAUGCUAAAGUAUUUCAAAGAAGCUACAGAAAUCUGUACUUCCACAAUGCCUCACAUUCAGCACAACCCCCACUGACUCCAGAAUAUUCUUCCAGAGCCCAGUGCACACUGCUAGAUCCAAAUACACAGCUGGUCUCAGGAGCACUGAUUGAUGUGGCUAAACAUCUGGGCAAUCUGCAGUUCAAAGCUUGGGAGAAGAUGCAGAGGAAUGGGAUUGUCACUUACACUCCUGUGAUUCUGGAACCCAACACUGCCCACUCACAAAUUGUCCUGUCUGAUGAUCUUCCCAUUGGCACACACUUGGAGCACAGCAUGCCGCUUCCUGACAAGCCAGAGAGGUUUGAUAAAUGGCCCUCGGUCCUGGGCUCUGAGGGCUUUGACUCAGGCUUACACACUUAGGAUGUUGUGGUUGGGGAAAAUGAAGAGUGGAUGGUGGGUGUUCUAUCAGAGUCUGCCCUGAGGAAGGUAGAAAUAAAGACUAGAGACCAGUCCUGGGGUUUAACACACUUGUAUGAUACAUACAAAGCUUUUUCCCCACCAAAUGACCAAAUCCUCCUCACUGUAGACUAUACCAGGACAAUUAGAGUGCAGCUGGACUGGGACAAAGGAACACUCAUUCUCUAACCUUGAUAAUGCAUAUACACACGUCCACACACACUUUUACUGAGAGAGUCUCCGCAUCUUGGUAAUAACAGCAAAUACCCUCUGACGAUCUUACCUGGGGAGGUCACGUUAGUGAUAUCACCUGUCAAGUGUAAAGCCGAUCCAGACUCUGACAAUGAAAAUUAAUAGAAGAAUGCUUCUUUGUCUGUCAUUUUUAGAUCACGAAAACUGGUGUCUUUUGAUGUUUUUCAGUGGAACUGCAGUCAGAACCAGCUGAUACCAGUGGCAUUUGUUGUAAGCAAAAUGCUCUGUUCAUUUGGAUUUUAGUUGAUGUUUCAUGUUGAUAUGUCACCAAGAUAAAUUUUCAUUGUGCCAUUUUUUUUGUCUUGAGAGAAGAGA